AGGUGUUUGAUGGUAAGGAGGGGGCAAGCACAUCUCUCAAGGCCCACUGAAACCCUCAUGACCAAGAGCCAAGCCUGAUACUUUAUGUUAGGUAUGGAAUGUAUGUGCAGCAGGUGUGUAGACAGAUGGUUUCUAAAGGGUCACCUGGCCUGUUGCUUCCAAAGGGUUAACUAGCUGCGUUUGCCCAUCUGAGUCUAAAACGACACUGCCAGUGGCAUUUUUCAGCCCAAGAGUGUGGAUCUAUUUAAGAAAUUGUCUUCUAGUAAUCCAGCCCCUUAGAGGCAUUUUAGGUGAUUACAGUCAUCCCUUCUGUAAUUUAUAUAAUUAUAGAAAAUGUGAUUCUUCUCAGUCAUCGGUUUCAUUUGUCUUACGCUGCCCAGACAGGAACAGAAUAGAAAUCAGAGAUUUCAUUUGUGCCACUGGUUAUUAUGUAGCUCUAUCCAAAUUUCCCUUAAGGUUUAACUAGACACAUCAAUCUCUCAAAUUUACAUCUCCUCGGAAGGGACGCUGCACUCUCAAUUCCUUGCUUCUCAUCUUAAAAACAUUUCCGCAAGCCUCACAUUCCAGAUGGCUGAGGUAUCUGCACAGCGUUUUGUGCAGUUAAGCUACAGUGAAGUUCAUCACAUAGUAGCAGCUCAAGUGGUCAUCCAUUAAUUGUUUAAAUUCCCCGACCGGCCAUCAGUUUUCCUGUCAGAGUUAGGGACCAAGAUUUCAAUCACAUAUAGUGGCAUGGGGUUUGUCCACUCAACACCCUUCUAGGCAGGGCCGGCCCAAGACAUUUUGGCACCUGAGGUGAAGCACAAAAUGGUGCCCCUCUCUCCAGCAGGGAAUAAGUGGAGAGUGAAAAUCAACACCAGGAACAAAGGGGGAAUAAAGUUCUGCAUUGGGGUCCCCUACCCCUAUGGAUCCUGCCGCCUAAGGCGGUCACCUCACCUUCCCUUUCAGUGUAUUGCUACUGGGUACAUUUAGAACUUUUAUUUGGUGGUUACAGUUGUCCAUCUCAAUAUAGGGCAGCCUUUCUCAACCUGUGCGUCCCCAUAUGUUGUUGGACUACAACUCCCAUCACCCCUAGCUAGCAAGGCCAGAGCUCAGGGAUGAUGGGAGUUGUAGUCCAACAACAUCUGGAGACCCACAGGUUGAGAACCGCUGAUAUAGGGCAGAGCCUUUUCAGAGGAUUUGCAAUAACAACAGUUCCUGUGUCUUUAUUACAAACUGUAUUCCCACACACACACAUUUCAAUUGAUGUUUGCUUACCAAAAUAGACCCUGUUCUGUUGAAAAUGUAGAGCCUAUAAUUAUAGGCUCCUCAUCUUUGCCUCCUAUUAUUUCUUCCUGUAUCAUUAAUUUGCUCACAUAUCACUCUCUUAACAUGCAUCCAGGCAAGCAAGAUGCAUUGUCAGAGUUCAAGGAAACACAUGAGCCAGGCAAAACACUCAUGGAGGACGCCAAACGAUGAUGGUGUAGGGCAUGACCAGGAGAGAAUAGGUGGGCUGGAGAGGGAUGUGGCCUGGGAAGAGUCCCAAGGGCCAGGUUGUGAACCCUGGAGGGCCACAUUGAGACAAAAAGCCAGAGGUUCCCCAUCCCUGCUCUAUUUUGUGGCAUCACCCCCAUUUGAUUUCUUUUGAGGGCAUUGUUGCCCAUUAAACAAACAAGCUUCCUAUUGCAUCUUUCAACCUUUCCAUCUUUUCCAUCUAUUGCAUCUUUCCUAUUGCAUCUUUCUGAUGGCACAACUUGGUCUCACCUACUCUGAUUGUGCAGGGGUGUCAUGUUGCCCUUUUGGUCUGGCUACAUUUUCUCUCAUUUUAUACCUGAUUUUCACUGUGUCCACACUAUCGGGUAUAUGGUAAUAUAGAAGGCGAGCAGACUAAAAUCCAGCCGUUGUUCCGUUGUGGUUUCGGGCAUUCUUACUUAGUUUUGCUAAUGCAUUGGCAAAGGUGAGACCAGCAUGCAACUGAAGUUGAUCUGACAGUUUUGUAUGUUUUAUGCCCCCAAAUGUCCUGUCACUUAUAGGCUCUUCUUUUCGUGUUUCCAUAGUUAAAAUGUUGAGCUGCUGAAUAAAGGCUUCUGCAGUUUCCCCCUUGAUCCUGGCACCUCUUGCUAAGUGUUGCUCUUUCAUAUAUGACCUUUCGUCUCCUGACAAAAGGUUUCUCAAAAAGCUCCUUUCACUUCUAUGUAAAUCUUUUGGGCUUCUGCAGUGAGAGGUAGCCUGUGUAGGCAAUAAUACCAUCUGCAGGGUCCCCUGUGGGGGGGAGGGAUGAGAGCAUUGAGUUGGUGGUCUGUUCUCAGCACCAACCUGGAAACAAUCCCACCCAUGCCUCUCACAUCUCCUAAUCCUGAUGGGCCAACUACUUGUUUUCAGAAAAUCAUGGUAGAUGUUGGGCUGUGCCAUCCCUGAUUAUGGGCCAUGCUGGCUGCGGUUCAUGGCAUUUGGCAUCCAACAAAAUCUGGAGGAUACCACAUUGGUUAUCUAUCCUUGGAUAUAUCCAGCACCCCAGCACUGAAGGGGGGUGAAUGGAAACACUGUGUGCAACUUUGCGCAGAACAAUCUGUGCAGAAUAAUCUGUGCAAAGUUUAAAAAGCAGCCUUUUCAGUCACCCUAGUGCAGCACUAAAGUGGGCAGUAUAGGCAAUAAUUGUUGUAUCUCUCUGUGUGCUUCAUGUGUCAGGCUUCAGGGAAUCUGCUCCCCAUCCCUCCACGGCCAGCUUCCAGUAAUGGAAGCUCUUACCAAGAUAUUUUAUUCAAUAUUCACAGAGAGAGACGCAGGAUGCCGUCUCAAGGAUAAUGGCGUUGCUCUGAGUAAUCCCCUCCCCCUUUCUCUCUUAGUCGUCAGCAGCUCCACCCCCUUUACGGGGGUGCUCAAUGCCCUUUGUGUAUUCAUUUUCUGUUCUACCACUUUCACUGCCCUCCAGGUCCUAGGAGAAGGGGGACGGUCUGGAAUGCCUUCUAAUGAUAACAUGUCAGCCAGCAGCUCCAACUCUGCUGCUCCCACACACACCCUCUUCUUCUUCCAUCAUCUCCCAGCUUUGUCCCUCUUCUGUCUCAGAUUCAUGGCUUUCUGCAAACCACCAUUGUAAAUCUAUACCAUCCUCCUCUUCUCAGGAAGGUUCAGGAGGAGGGGGGUCAGUCUCCACCAUUCCUCCUCAGUCCAGUCCCUGACAACAUGUGUUCUGUGAGAACAUUAAGUUUUAGUGGGUACACGUUUGCCCUGCCAUGAACUUAGCAACUUUUGUGGUGGAUAACUGAAUACAUAUAAACACACUUUAGUAAGCUGAAGCCAGUUUUUAUUCCUUUGCUUAAACACCUAAUCUUUGUAUUCUAGCCUUCUUCCUUCAUUGUGCAUCAAACUCAAUUCAUAAUAUACUUUUGGGGUUUAACUGAAACUGCUUUUCUUCCCCAUCUGUACCCAGAUACGAUGUUUGCACACAGUGAAGUGGUCACUGGCCUGCCAAAGCACAAAAUACGUAUGCGUUGAUGGUGCACUAAAGGAGUAAAUCCCUACUUUGGGUGUACAGUGGAACCUCGAGGUGCGGACGUAAUCCGUCCCAGAGGCACAUCCACAACUCGAAGCGUUCUCAUUCAGAAGCACUGCAUCUGCGCACAUGCACGGCGCGAUUUAGCACUUCUGAGCAUUCAAGAGCAGUGAAACCCAGAAGUAACCCAUUCCGGUACUUCUGGGUUGCUGCGGGACGAAAGACGAAAACAUGCAACGUGAAGCGGACGCAACCUGAGGUAUGACUAUAUUGGCUAUUUGUGAGUUGAUUUAUUCAUAGAACUAUCUGCCAUGUGUACAUUGAAGCCAAGCCCCAGGUGGGAGGAAGGGGCAAUUUGCAUAGCUGAAAGGGAGCCCUUUCUAAAACUUCUCAUGUUUGGUCCUCAGAAACAAACAAACAAAACCAUGGAGGGCAAAAUGGUUAAUCCACUGAAGUCAAUUUAUUGAAGCUGAACCUGGCCCCAGGAAAUUAGGGGUGCAGUUCAUCCUCUAGAAUCAGUUUAAGUUUUGAAAGUGCCUUUGAUAGAGAUCAGGCUUGCACUUUAGGUGUAUUGUUAAAAAUUGUCGUCUUCCGUGGAAAAAAUAAGAGGGGGAAAAUGUUGCAGAGGCCAUCCAGAAUUGGAUUGCUUUUCCUACUGACGUGCUCAUUCCUGUUUACAUCAAAGAAAGAAAAAUCUAGUGCAAUCGAAAAGUUCAGUUGCUGCAGCAUCCUGCAAAAAAAAAAUAAGCUGGUUUAUGCUUAAAGCCUUUCACUGGCCGUAAUCCUUUAAAUCCCUUGCAUGCCAUAGCAAAUUGAAAUUCAGCUGGGGCUGUCCGGACUUGUAAAGACAAACCAUCCUUCAUCAAAGAGGCAUCCAUAUUGAUAAAUUGCUCCCUUCGUAGUCAUGACACUAUCUCUAAAAGUGAUUUGUGUACAUUAGCAGAGCAGUAAAAAGAUGAAACGAAAAGCCCUUAAGAGUAAACUUAGAUGCAGAAUGAAAAUGAUGACUUGUAGCAGUCAAGUGGCUCUUUAUGGAAUCAGAUUUGGAAGGGAGGAAAAAAGAAAGACCAUUCAUUACGGCAUGUAUAAAACAGAAGAACAAUAUACAGGGCAAAAUGGACCCAGCUCUUAAGACCCAGCAUGGGACUCCUUCUUGCGCUGUUCAAGAUUAUCAUGGAGACAAAAUUCAUGAGGGCAUAGAUGCUAAACAAAUGGAAUAGAUUCCUCAGGAGUCUGGUUGGAAGUAAUUUGAUCACAAGUGCACUUAUUCCCUCUUGUUUGAUGCAAGGGGAGCAUAAUCUUUGGAAACGACAGUACUAUAGGAUUUCCACAGCAGCGCUGCCAUUAGAUACAAUUUAGACUGGUGCUGAUGUGCCUGCUUCCCAGUUUGGACUCCCUCGUGAGUUUUUCACAUAGCAUGGCUCCAUCACGUUUUUGUACACAUGCUCUUAUUCUGCUAUGUUUGUUGUUUCUCAGGUCAGACGUGACAGUGGGCGGAAUUCAAUGAGGUGAAGCCACUUCUUUUAGUGCAAAGGGCAGGCUCCACCUUCCAUGCUGCUCUAAAGAGUCCUUCAAACCUCAGGAAUUGGCUUUUGGGAAG